CAAUAAGAGUGUUUAUGGCACUCUUUCAAAAAAUCCAUACCCACCUUGUGUGCAAUGUAAAAAAAAGGGAGUUUUCUGGUGGUUUGGGAGUGAGAGUUGCUUUACAACGCUCAUUUUUUUUCCUCAAGAGACACUUUUUUUUCAUUUCAUUAUACACCUUUCUAUAAGUUUCCUAUUGUCUGAAGUACUUGGAAUAAAUAUAAUUCUAAAAUA
rnacentral:misc_RNA from 1 species